rnacentral:rRNA from 1 species
GGAUCGCGAGUAAAGUGGCGAAAGGGUCAGUAAUACAUAGAUAACCUACCCUUCCGAUUCGGCAUAACUUGGCGAAAGCCGUGCUAAUUCCGGAUACGAUGCAACGACUUCGGUCGUGGUAUGAAAGGCCGGGAGCCCUUCGGGGUCCGGUCGUCGGAGGAGGGGUCUAUGCCCCAUCAGCUAGUUGGUGAGGUAACGGCUCACCAAGGCAAUUACGGGUACGGGGCCUGAGAGGGUGUUCCCGGACACUGGGACUGAGACACUGCCCAGACUCCUACGGGAGGCAGCAGUCGAGAAUCAUUCGCAAUGGGCGCAAGCCUGACGAUGCGACGCCGCGUGUGGGAUGGAGGCCUUCGGGUUGUAAACCACUGUCACAGGGGAAGAAUAGCCGGCAUACGAAUAAUGUGCCGGCCUGACGUUACCCUGAGAGGAAGUCACGGCUAACUCCGUGCCAGCAGCCGCGGUAAUACGGAGGUGGCAAGCGUUGUUCGGAAUUACUGGGCGUAAAGGGUGUGUAGGCGGUUUGUCAUGUUCGGUGUGAAAUACCCCGGCUCAAUCGGGGAACUGCAUCGAAAACUGGCAGACUUGAGUGCAGGAGGGAAGAGCGGAAUUUCCGGUGGAGCGGUGAAAUGCGUAGAUAUCGGAAGGAACGCCAGUGGCGAAAGCGGCUCUUUGGCCUGUUACUGACGCUGAGGCACGAAAGCCAAGGGAGCAAACAGGAUUAGAUACCCCGGUAGUCUUGGCUGUAAACGAUGGGCACUACGUAGUGGGGCCUCUGACGGUCUCACUGCCGGAACUAACGCAUUAAGUGCCCCGCCUGGGGACUACGACCGCAAGGUUAAAACUCAAGGUAAUUGACGGGGGCUCACACAAGCGGUGGAGCAUGUUGCGUAAUCGAUCAACGCGAAGAACCUUACCAGGGCUUGACAUACACGGAUUAGGUUGUCGAAAGGCAACUGACGCCCUUGAGGUGGAACGUGAACAGGUGUUGCAUGGCUGUCGUCAGCUCGUGCCGUGAGGUGUCGGGUUAAGUCCCACAACGAGCGAAACCCCUAUCCCUAGUUGCCAGCGAGUCAUGUUGGGGACUCUAGGGAGACUGCCAGUGUUAAACUGGAGGAAGGUGGGGAUGACGUCAAGUCAUCAUGGCCCUUAUGUCCUGGGCUGCAAACGUGCUACAAUGGUCGGUACAGUGGGAAGCAAGACCGUGAGGUGGAGCCAAUCCCCCUAAAGCCGACCUCAGUACGGAUUGAAGGCUGCAACUCGCCUUCAUGAAGCUGGAAUCGCUAGUAAUCGCGAAUCAGCAACGUCGCGGUGAAUAUGUUCCUGAGCCUUGUAUACACCGCCCGUCAAGUCACCUGAAUGGAUCGAACCCGAAGCCGCGAAGCCCUCGGGCCAGCGUCGAAGGUCCGGUUCGUGAGGGGGACUAAGUCGUAACAAGGUA